AUUGAACGCUGGCGGCAGGCCUAACACAUGCAAGUCGAACGAGUGGCGGACGGGUGAGUAAUGUCUGGGAAACUGCCUGAUGGAGGGGGCUAACUACUGGAAACGGUAGCUAAUACCGCAUACCCUCAGAUGUGCCCAGAUGGGAUUAGCUUGUUGGUGGGGUAACGGCUCACCAAGGCGACGAGCCCUAGCUGGUCUGAGAGGAUGACCAGCAACACGGGAACGAGGACACGGACCAGACUCCGACGGGAGGCAGCAGUUGGAAAUAUUGCACAAUGGGCGCAAGCGUAAUGCAGCCAUGCCGCGUGUAUGAAGAAGGCCUUCGGGUUGUAAAGUACUUUCAGCGGGGAGGCGUUACCCGCAGAAGAAGCACCGGCUAACUCCGUGCCAGCCGCCGCGGUAAUUC
rnacentral:rRNA from 1 species